rnacentral:tRNA from 1 species
GCGGGAGUAGCUCAGUGGUAGAGCGUCUCCUUGCCAAGGAGAAGGCCGCGGGUUCGACCCCCGUCUCCCGCUCCA